AACGAACGCUGGCGGCAGGCUUAACACAUGCAAGUCGAGGGGUAACGAGAGGAAAGCUUGCUUUCCUUGUCGACGACCGGCGCACGGGUGAGUAACGCGUAUCCAACCUGCCCCCAACUAGGGAAUAACCUUGCGAAAGUAAGACUAAUACCCUAUAAUUUCCUCAGAUGUCAUCUGACGAGGAAUAAAGAUUUAUCGGUUGUGGAUGGGGAUGCGUCUGAUUAGCUUGUUGGCGGGGUAACGGCCCACCAAGGCAACGAUCAGUAGGGGUUCUGAGAGGAAGGUCCCCCACAUUGGAACUGAGACACGGUCCAAACUCCUACGGGAGGCAGCAGUGAGGAAUAUUGGUCAAUGAGCGGAAGCCUGAACCAGCCAAGUAGCGUGCAGGAUGACGGCCCUAUGGGUUGUAAACUGCUUUUAUACAGGAAUAAAGUUAGCCACGUGUGGUUAUUUGUAGGUACUGUAUGAAUAAGGACCGGCUAAUUCCGUGCCAGCCGCCGCGGUAA
rnacentral:rRNA from 1 species